UCCUGAGUGGCGGGGCAGGGCACCCAGCCUUUUCCAGCAAGUUUUCCCUCAAUGGUAGAAUCACAUAUUUUUCCUUUUUUUCCCGGUUCUUUUGAACUGACAUGAUAAAAUCACCCCUUCUGCCCUUUUAUGUUUUAAUUAGUGUGAUUUCAUUUGUACUUAUGCCCUUAGGCUGUUUUAGCAACAAACUACAAUUUUACAAAUUGGGGCGAAAGUUCUCUUUCACCGUAUGUAUUUAAAACAGAGUAUUUUAUUUCAACAGAAUGAUUUAAUCUUUAAGGGUAUAAAGUGCCCCUGAUAUAUCAGUCGUCAACAUUGGCCUCUGCAAUGACAAUCAGACUCCCAGAAGAUACCCCACUUUGCUGACCUUACCUGUGGCUUCUUUUGACUAUCUGUGAAGCUGGAGGAUGCGUGCUGGAGAGAUGUUCAACAAAAGGGCAUCACUGAUUGGCCAGCUGGUGGAAUAUCAUGGAUGGGGCCUGGAAACAGACCCACCUCCACUGAGCCCCGUGCUUCUCUCUGUGCAAUGGAUCUUGGCCCAGUUUCCAUGUCCAGGUUCCGGCAGCCUCCCGUUCCUCCCAGGCCCCAGUGCAGACAUCCCGUGCAGUGCUCCUGCUGCCUGCUCUCUGGGGAUCUGA
rnacentral:lncRNA from 1 species